UACGAGGGGGGCAAGUGUUGUUCGGAAUCACUGGGCGUAAAGGGUGCGUAGGCGGGCUUCUAAGUCAGCUGUUUAAUCCCGGGGCCCAACCCCGGUCGUGCACCUAAAACUGGGAGUCUUGAAUAGUGGAGAGGUCAGUGGAAUUGGGGGUGUAGCGGUGGAAUGCGUAGAGAUCCCCAAGAACACCAGUUGCGAAGGCGGCUGACUGGACACAUAUUGACGCUGAGGCUCGAAAGCAUGGGGAGCAAACAGG
rnacentral:rRNA from 1 species